rnacentral:rRNA from 1 species
CCUACGGGCGGCAGCAGUGGGGAAUCUUGCACAAUAGGGGAAACCCUGAUGCAGCAACGCCGCGUGAGUGAAGCAGUAUUUCGGUAUGUUAAGCCCUAUUAGCAGGGAAGUGCAUGACGGUACCUGACUAAGAAGCCCCGGCUAAAUACGUGCCAACAGCCGCGGUAAUAAGUAGGGGGCGAGCGUUAUCCGGGUUUACGGGGUGUAAAGGGGGCGUUGAAGGGUCCGCAAGUCUGAAGUGAAAGCCCUGAGGUUAACCGCGGAACGGCUUUGGAAACUGUGGAGCUGGAGUGCUGGAGAGGCAGGCGGAAUUCCUAGUGUAGCGGUGAAAUGCGUAGAUAUUAGGAGGAACACCAGUGGCGAAGGCGGCUUGCUGGACAGUAACUGACGUUGAGGCUCGAAAGCGUGGGGAGCAAACAGGAUUAGAUACCCCGGUAGUC